rnacentral:rRNA from 1 species
CUGAACCAGCCAAGUAGCGUGAAGGAUGACUGCCCUAUGGGUUGUAAACUUCUUUUAUACGGGAAUAAAGUGAGGCACGUGCGCCUUUUUGUAUGUACCGUAUGAAUAAGGAUCGGCUAACUCCGCGCCAGCAGCCGCGGUAAUACGGAGGAUCCGAGCGUUAUCCGGAUUUAUUGGGUUUAAAGGGAGCGUAGGCGGACGCUUAAGUCAGUUGUGAAAGUUUGCGG